CUGCACGCGUGUUACACUGAAGGGAUCAGCGUGUCUUCCCUGACCGAGAGGUCCGGGUAACCCGCUGAACCCCCUUCGUGGUAGGGAUCGGAGCUUGCAAUUAUUCUCCGUGAACCAGGAAUGCCCAGUAAGCGCAAGUCAUAAGCUUGCGUUGAUUACGUC
rnacentral:rRNA from 1 species